UGCCCCUCCCACCCCCCGCAGAGCUGUGUAAAUAUUCAGGCUAAAUACAAUGUGAACACCAGUGGAAAACAAAAACACACCACGCAGGCAACAUUAAUUUAUUCACUUAGGGCUGACCCCUCUGGCCACUGGCACCACACAGGGCUCAGCGAGGGGGUUGCCUGCCUAGAGUUAACAUGCCAGUGGAUGUGAAUCCUUUUCUUUUUUGUUGUUGUUGUUGUUGUUUUUUAUUUUGAACAGUAUUACAGCGAGUAGUUAGUGUUUCCUUUUGUUGAAAUAGCUGAAAACCUGACACUACAGAAAGUGCCUUAGACACUACAGUACUAAGACAAUGUUACAUAUAUAAUUUGCCUAUAUAACAAUGAUUUAAUGUAUUAAUUUUGACUGUGCUUCAUAUCAUGUACCUCUCUAGUCCAAGUGGUAUUAUUGAUAUUAGUGAAAAUGAAUCAGUGUUAACUAGGAAACUUCCUCUGCCACAUGCUCAAGAAAGACAUGGAUUUCCUUUUUUUUUUUUGGUUAAAAGCUUUAACAUCUGUCGCAAAGGUUUUGUUGUGUGUGUUUGGGUAUUUUUAAUCAAACUGGCUGUUGACCACCAGGCAUCUGACUGCAAAUAUCUUGUUUUCUUGUAUACCCAUAUUUCUAGACAAUGAUUUUUGUAAGACAAUAAAUUUAUUCAUUCUAGAUGCGGCCGCCUGCUCUGGUUACUUACAGGAAGAGCUUUCUCCUGAGGCUGGCAUAGACCUUAAUAAACAAGAAUAUGACUGGAA